rnacentral:rRNA from 1 species
CGGGGUGAGUAACGCGUGGGUAACCUGCCUUAUACAGGGGGAUAACAGUUGGAAACGGCUGCUAAUACCGCAUAAGCGCACGGCAUCGCAUGAUGCAGUGUGAAAAACUCCGGUGGUAUAAGAUGGACCCGCGUUGGAUUAGCUAGUUGGUGAGGUAACGGCCCACCAAGGCGACGAUCCAUAGCCGACCUGAGAGGGUGACCGGCCACAUUGGGACUGAGACACGGCCCAA